rnacentral:rRNA from 1 species
AACGCGAAGAACCUUACCUAGGCUUGAAAUCCUACGAAUCCCUUUUAAACGAGGGAGUGCCCUUCGGGGAAUGUAGUGACAGGCGCUGCAUGGCUGUCGUCAGCUCGUGUCGUGAGAUGUUGGGUUAAGUCUCGCAACGAGCGCAACCCCUAUCCUUAGUUGCCAGCAUUAAGUUGGGCACUCUAGGGAGACUGCCUGGGCUAACCAGGAGGAAGGUGGGGAUGACGUCAAGUCCUCAUGGCCCUUAUGUCUAGGGCUACACACGUAAUACAAUGGUCGGUACAGAGGGAUGCGAACUCGCGAGGGGGAGCAAAUCUCAAAAAACCGAUCUCAGUCCGGAUUGGAGUCUGCAACUCGACUCCAUGAAGUUGGAAUCGCUAGUAAUCGCGGAUCAGCACGCCGCGGUGAAUACGUUCCCGGGCCUUGUACACACCGGUACUA